UGCAGAUUCCCCUGUAUGCAGAAUACGACCGUUCGAAGCUUCUGACGUUCUUGCGGAAUAGCAACUACUAUCCAUUACAAAAGGCUUUAAAUGAAUGUGAACAGAGGCAUCUGGUGCCAGAGAUGGUCUUUCUGCUCAGUCGCAUGGGAAACAACAAACAAGCUUUGCAGCUGAUUAUUCAAGAGGAAAAUGAUGUUGAAAAGGCGAUUGACUUUGCAAAAGAACAGGAUGAUGAAGAUCUGUGGGAUGACCUUAUCAAUUAUUCUCUUGACAAACCAGGUUUUCAUUUUAUUCUGUAUUGC